AUGGCGCUGCGAGUGGGGUGCGGAGCCUCCCUGGCAGCUGGAGGGGGCGCUGUCCGGACGCUGCGCAUGCGACCCGCUCUGCUCUCGGUGCGUAAAUUCACAGAGAAACGUGAAUGGAUAACAACAGAAAGUGAUAUUGGAACAGUGGGAAUCAGCAAUUUGGCACAGGAAGCGUUGGGAGAUGUUGUUUUACUGUAGUCUACCUGAAGUUGAGACAAAAUUGAACAAACGAGUUUGGUGCUUUGGAAAGGGUGAAAGCUGUAGUGAACUCUAUUCUCCUUUAUCAGGAGAGGUAACUGAAAUUAAUGAAGUUCUUGCAGAAAAUACAGGACUUGUAAACAAAUCUUGUUAUGAAGAUGGUUGGCUGAUCAAGAUGACACUGAGUAUACCCUUCAGAACUAGGGAUCUUAUGAGUGAAGAAGCAUAUGAGAAAUACAUCAAAUCUAUUGAGGAGUGAAAAUGGAACCCCUAAAUAAACUAGUAUGAAAUAACGCAACCCAACAGAGUUGUCUAAAAUUAGUGGUGGAUAGAAGACUUCGAAUAGCAACUUUUAGCAUUACCGAUGGGGGGGGGGGGGAAACUACUGUUAACACUGCUAAUGAAGGAAAAUGCCCUUUAACUUUCUAAUGAUUAUAGAUAAAUAUAAAACACGUCUUUUUCACAAUAUCCUAUGAUUUAUAGACUACUAGACUCUAGUGUUCAGAAUUCAUUAAAUUAUCCAUGGUAAAAACUAGUUAUAAAAAUUGCAUAAUUCAAAGAUAACAUUGUUAUUCUUAAGCCUUAUAUGAUAUUGUGACUUGCGUAUAUCCAUACCUGGGUUUGGGAUGAAAUACUUAAUGAUCUUUCCAUUGGAAAUAACUGGGAGUGAAGAGUUGCUUGUACAGUGUCAGAUGAGGAACACCACUAUUUUAAUUUUGCAAUACACUGCAUUUGCUGGUGCUAUUUUUAUCUGGUGAAACAACAGCUUUGCAGCAAAAUAAUAAAAUGUUUCUUCGUU